rnacentral:tRNA from 1 species
UCCCGAUUAGCUCAGCUGGAAGAGCGCUCCACCGGAAAUGGAGAGGUUCCUGGUUCGAUACCAGAACCAGGCG